UACAGAGGGUGCAAGCGUUGCUCGGAAUCAUUGGGCGUAAAGGGCGCGUAGGCGGCCUGAUAAGUAGGGGGUGAAAUCCUGCGGCUUAACCGCAGGGCUGCCUUCUAAACUGUCAGGCUAGAGCACGGUAGAGGCAGAUGGAAUUCCCGGUGUAGCGGUGGAAUGCGUAGAGAUCGGGAAGAACAUCAGUGGCGAAGGCGGUCUGCUGGGCCGUUGCUGACGCUGAGGCGCGACAGCGUGGGGAGCAAACAGG
rnacentral:rRNA from 1 species